GCGCGAAAACUUUACAAUGCUGGCAACAGCGAUAAGGGAACCUCGAGUGCCAGGUUACAAAUCUGGCUGUCGAGAUGCCUAAAAAGCAUUUCAUAGCAAGGGCCGGGCAAGACCGGUGCCAGCCGCCGCGGUAACACCGGCGGCUCGAGUGGUAAUCGUUGUUAUUGGGUCUAAAGGGUCUGUAGCCGGCCGGAUAAGUCUCUUGAGAAAUCUGGCAGCUUAACUGUCAGGCUUUCAGGAGAUACUGUCUGGCUCGAGGCCGGGAGAGGUGAGAGGUACUUCAGGGGUAGGGGUGAAAUCUUGUAAUCCUUGAAGGACCACCAGUGGCGAAGGCGUCUCACCAGAACGGACCUGACGGCAAGGGACGAAAGCUAGGGGAACGAACC
rnacentral:rRNA from 1 species